rnacentral:rRNA from 1 species
CUGGCUCAGGAUGAACGCUGGCGGCGUGCCUAACACAUGCAAGUCGAACGGAGUUACGAGAGCUUGCUUUGUAACUUAGUGGCGGACGGGUGAGUAAUGCGUGAGCAACCUGCCUUUCAGAGGGGGACAACAGUUGGAAACGACUGCUAAUACCGCAUAACGUAUCGUGAGGGCAUCCUCGUGAUACCAAAGGAGCAAAUCCGCUGAAAGAUGGGCUCACGUCUGAUUAGCUGGUUGGUGGGGUAACGGCUCACCAAGGCUGCGAUCAGUAGCCGGACUGAGAGGUUGAACGGCCACAUUGGGGCUGAGAUACGGCCCAGACUCCUACGGGAGGCAGCAGUGGGGAAUAUUGGGCAAUGGGCGAAAGCCUGAACCCCAGCAACGCCGCGUGAAGGAAGAAGGUCUUCGGAUUGUAAACUUCUUUUAUGAGGGACGAAGGACGUGACGGUACCUCAUGAAUAAGCCACGGCUAACUACGUGCCAGCAGCUGC